AUGCAGAUAGUUCAGUUGGUUAGAGCACAGCACUGAUAGUGCCAAGGUUGCAGGGUUGAUCCCUGUAGGGGACAGCUGCAUA